CUCAAGUCUUUUGCAUUACAUCCAGCAGCCUGCAAACCCAAGGUGAAAGUCCAUUCUCACCUCAUCAGAAAAUGAAUAUACAUGGAUGUGUGCUGUACCUAAGAGUGACUAGAUAAUUGCUUCCACUCGCCUGACCACUGGAUAAAGUUAUCUGCAGAGUUAUCGACAGUUCCUGUGAAUGCUGAGCAGAGAUUAGAGAACAAAUACUGAUGAGAAGCAUUUCAAUAACAACCCUUUCCGUGGAGAAAUUCUUCCUGACAUCCAACCUGACCCUCUGCUGGCACAGCUUGAGGCUGUUUCCUUUUGUCCUGUCCAUUGUUUCCUGGGAAGAGCCCAGGCUUCACCUGGCUGCAUCCUCUAUGACUUUUUAAUUUUUUUUUUCUAACUUCAGGUUCAUUCAGAAACAAUCGUUGGCUGAAGCACAGCAUCAGCACAAAGUGGAUUUGGUGACCAUGAAAUAAUUAAAAGUAAAAUAGUGUCGGCUGAGGUAUUUUACUUAGAGAAGUAAAAUAAUUCCCGAGAUUACUGCACUUAACUUUAUUUUCUAAUACUCAGUGUAGACAGUUCCAACUGUGUUGAUUUGCUGCCAGCAGUGCUUUUGCCAUUUCAGCAUCUGGAAGCCUUGCUGUUAAAUAAUCAAUAUUUAUUAUUAAAAAUGGAGAAACAUUUACUAAACUUUCCUUGGAGAUUUUUCUGACAUACCUUUGACAUCCCUUUGUUAAUAAAAACUCUCUGGACUGUUUUCAAAAUUUUUUCAAUAUAUUCAUACAAAGGAAAAGGCCAGGAGAAGAGACAUUUCUAGUUCCAAACUUCUCAAAGUUAACGAGAUAGAAUAAAUAGUGCUUAGCAAGUAAAAAAGUUGAAUUUAACAUGAGAUAUUAUGGUAUUACUUCUCUUAAUGUACUUCAACUUUUAUUUGUUGUGAUUAAAGGAACUGAGGACUGCUCCAAUGCCAACAGAAGUUCAUGGGAAAAAUCCCAUUUCCUUUUUUAAUAAGUUUCAUAAGUAAUAUUUUUUUUUUAUUCCAAAACACACUGAGUGCUUCUGAGUUUUUCUCUGUUCUUUGUUGAAGAUUAAUAAACUCUUUAAACCUUUCUAGACGCAAUCUGAUAUUUCAUAGGCUGGUAUUAAGGGACUUGUCAUUCCUUCAAAUUUCACAAUGCAAGUGAAACAUUCCAUCUUUUCAUCUUUUUCCAUGAAUAAAAAGAUUUUGUUUAUUAAAAAGAAGAAGGAUCAUAUUCUAGACAUCUCUUAUCCAGGGCAGAUUGGUGACUUUUUAGUGUCACAUGAAUACUAAUAUGAGAUUUUGUAAAACCGUAUUCCAAAAUGUGUUAGUAGUAUGUGCAGUGUCCGUUUCUUUUUAUAAAACUGGAAAAUGGAUUUUCUGCAUAGUCCAAGGGGACACACAGAGUAUCCCAAUGGCUUUCUGUGAGACUAUUUUGGCUAUCCAGUUAAAUAUGUCAUUGUGUUUGGGAAAAUUCUGGGCUUGACUUUAUUUAUAGGGAAAAAGAAUAUAUAAUAGACUGUUCUUUAACCCGUGAAA